rnacentral:misc_RNA from 1 species
GAAAUGCGAUAAGUAAUGUGAAUUGCAGAAUUCAGUGAAUCAUCGAAUCUUUGAACGCACCUUGCGCUCCUUGGUAUUCCUUGGAGCAUGCCUGUUUGAGUAUAAUGACAUCUUCAAAGUAAAUCUUUUGUUAACUCAAUUGGUUUCUACUUUGGUAUUGGAGGUCUUUGCAGCUUCACACCUGCUCCUCUUUGUUCAUUAGCUGGAUCUCAGUGUUAUGCUUGGUUCCGCUCGGCGUGAUAAGUUAUCUAUCGCUGAGGACACUGUAAAAGGUGGCCAAGGUAAAUGCAGAUGAACCGCUUCUAAUAGUCCAUUGACUUGGACAAUACUUUUAUGAUCUGAUCUCAAAUCAGGUAGGACUACCCGCUGAACUUAAGC